rnacentral:rRNA from 1 species
UACGGGGGGGGCAAGCGUUGUUCGGAAUUACUGGGCGUAAAGGGCUCGUAGGUGGCCAACUAAGUCAGACGUGAAAUCCCUCGGCUUAACCGGGGAACUGCGUCUGAUACUGGAUGGCUUGAGUUUGGGAGAGGGAUGCGGAAUUCCAGGUGUAGCGGUGAAAUGCGUAGAUAUCUGGAGGAACACCGGUGGCGAAGGCGGCAUCCUGGACCAAUACUGACGCUGAGGAGCGAAAGCUAGGGGAGCAAACGGG